UACGGGGGGGGCAAGCGUUGUUCGGAAUUACUGGGCGUAAAGGGUGUGUAGGCGGUCCUCUAAGUUUGGUGUGAAAUCUCCCGGCUCAACCGGGAGGGUGCGCCGAAAACUGGGGGGCUAGAGUGCGGGAUGGGUAAGUGGAAUUCCUGGUGUAGCGGUGAAAUGCGUAGAUAUCAGGAGGAACACCGGUGGCGAAGGCGGAUCUCUGGGCCUUACCUGACGCUCAGGCGCGAAAGCUAGGGGAGCGAACUGG
rnacentral:rRNA from 1 species